AUGAUCACGUUGCCGGCCUUCCUGGGGCGUAGAAAGGACACCUCCCCGGAAGCCGGAAGGCCGGAGCUGGAGCAUCUGCGGUGCCACAUUGGCCCCCGGACGCUUGGCCUCAGUUUCCCCAGAGACUGUGAGAGAGGUCUCCCCGUAUCCCUCCUUCGCAUUCGCAGGCAGCGUCCACUUUCAUCAAGGCCGCCGGGUCCCAUCAGCAUGACUUGCUGGGACCGGGCCGGCCCUGCCCCACGGGAGCCCCAUCGCCGGGCUGUGCGCCAGGUGCCGUGCAGAGGGACCCCAGCCUCGGCCUCCGGGAGCCCCACACCUGCCGGGCUGUGGGGUCCACGCGGUGCCGGCUGGACGCCCUCCGCUCCCGGCUUCCCCGUCCGCUCAGGGCUGGAGCAAAGCCCCUCCGCCACCGCAGAGAAGGGUGAGACUUUAAUCUGGAAAACCCAUCUUUUAUUCAUGCGUCUGCCACCUGCCGCCCGCCCAGAGACCACCCGCGGCCGCCCGUGGGACACCAGCAAGCGUGUGGCCGGGCCGCCGCUGCCUUUGGAAGUAGCCGCCCGUGGGGGAGGCGUAAGGGUUAAACCGGUUUCCUGUCCUGGAACAUUUGGGGAUUUUUAUCACACGUCACAGUCUCUGACAGCCUCCGGGGACGCUGGAAUAUUCCAGUGCGGCUGCCAGUUCCUCGGGCACAUCUUGGUUGGGCCACAGGUUCCCGUGUGCGGCCCCGGCACCCUCUGCAGGCAUUGGGGGCGGAUCGAGGCCUUGAGAGGAGGCCCCUGGGGGAGUGGGAAGGCGCCCCCCGCGCCGGGGAGGCAGUCCGAGUUGGGGUCCCCACGGGGUGCGCGCUGCACGUCCUGCUGUCCCAGGGGUGGGGGGUGCAGAGAACCAACCCCCACCCAGAACAGCUUAAAGCACACGGAGCUUGCUGGGAGCCCUGGGCAGGCAGGUGUCCCCAUCUUUCCACCCCCUCUGGCCCCAACCGUCUUUUUCUCCUUCAGCUGCCUGGAAGGGGGGCCCCUGGCCGCAGCACCCUGA
rnacentral:lncRNA from 12 species